GUGUCAGCAGCCGCGGUAAUACGUAGGGUGCGAGCGUUAAUCGGAAUUACUGGGCGUAAAGCGUGCGCAGGCGGUUUUAUAAGCCAGAUGUGAAAGCCCCGGGCUCAACCUGGGAAUGGCAUUUGGGACUGUAAGGCUGGAGUAUGGCAGAGGAGACUAGAAUUCCUGGUGUAGCAGUGAAAUGCGUAGAUAUCAGGAGGAAUACCGAUGGCGAAGGCAGGUCUCUGGGCCAAUACUGACGCUCAUGCACGAAAGCGUGGGGAGCAAACAGGAUUAGAUACCCCUGUAGUCC
rnacentral:rRNA from 1 species